rfam:Salmo salar isolate Sally breed double haploid chromosome ssa10, whole genome shotgun sequence.
AAUGCACCAAUUUGUAAGUCGCUCUGGAUAAGAGCGUCUGCGAAAUGACGUAAA